rnacentral:rRNA from 1 species
AUAAUGGGUCAGCGACUUAUAUUCUGUAGCAAGGUUAACCGAAUAGGGGAGCCGAAGGGAAACCGAGUCUUAACUGGGCGUUAAGUUGCAGGGUAUAGACCCGAAACCCGGUGAUCUAGCCAUGGGCAGGUUGAAGGUUGGGUAACACUAACUGGAGGACCGAACCGACUAAUGUUGAAAAAUUAGCGGAUGACUUGUGGCUGGGGGUGAAAGGCCAAUCAAACCGGGAGAUAGCUGGUUCUCCCCGAAAGCUAUUUAGGUAGCGCCUCGUGAAUUCAUCUCCGGGGGUAGAGCACUGUUUCGGCAAGGGGGUCAUCCCGACUUACCAACCCGAUGCAAACUGCGAAUACCGGAGAAUGUUAUCACGGGAGACACACGGCGGGUGCUAACGUCCGUCGUGAAGAGGGAAACAACCCAGACCGCCAGCUAAGGUCCCAAAGUCAUGGUUAAGUGGGAAACGAUGUGGGAAGGCCCAGACAGCCAGGAUGUUGGCUUAGAAGCAGCCAUCAUUUAAAGAAAGCGUAAUAGCUCACUGGUCGAGUCGGCCUGCGCGGAAGAUGUAACGGGGCUAAACCAUGCACCGAAGCUGCGGCAGCGACGCUUAUGCGUUGUUGGGUAGGGGAGCGUUCUGUAAGCCUGCGAAGGUGUGCUGUGAGGCAUGCUGGAGGUAUCAGAAGUGCGAAUGCUGACAUAAGUAACGAUAAAGCGGGUGAAAAGCCCGCUCGCCGGAAGACCAAGGGUUCCUGUCCAACGUUAAUCGGGGCAGGGUGAGUCGACCCCUAAGGCGAGGCCGAAAGGCGUAGUCGAUGGGAAACAGGUUAAUAUUCCUGUACUUGGUGUUACUGCGAAGGGGGGACGGAGAAGGCUAUGUUGGCCGGGCGACGGUUGUCCCGGUUUAAGCGUGUAGGCUGGUUUUCCAGGCAAAUCCGGAAAACUAAGGCUGAGGCGUGAUGACGAGGCACUACGGUGCUGAAGCAACAAAUGCCCUGCUUCCAGGAAAAGCCUCUAAGCAUCAGGUAACAUCAAAU